rnacentral:rRNA from 1 species
AUUGAACGCUGGCGGCAGGCCUAACACAUGCAAGUCGAGCGGAUGAGUGGAGCUUGCUCCAUGAUUCAGCGGCGGACGGGUGAGUAAUGCCUAGGAAUCUGCCCUGGUAGUGGGGGACAACGUUUCGAAAGGAACGCUAAUACCGCAUACGUCCUACGGGAGAAAGCAGGGGACCUUCGGGCCUUGCGCUAUCAGAUGAGCCUAGGUCGGAUUAGCUAGUAGGUGAGGUAAUGGCUCACCUAGGCGACGAUCCGUAACUGGUCUGAGAGGAUGAUCAGUCACACUGGAACUGAGACACGGUCCAGACUCCUACGGAGGCAGCAGUGGGGAAUAUUGGACAAUGGGCGGCAAGGACCCUGGGUUCCCAAGCCAUGCCGCGUGAGUGAUGAAGGCC